rnacentral:rRNA from 1 species
AUGUUCCGGCGGGCUGUGGGUUCCCUCCUCGCACGGGGGUUCUCGCCUCGUGCGACCCCAAGCACUGCUCCUGCGCGCUCUCUCCACUCCUCGAGGGAUCUCGCCAUCGGUAAUGGCCUUCUUGCUGCUUAUGUUUUUGCCGCGGGUAUGUUGGCUGGUGGCGGUGGGGGGUUGGUGAUUCUGCAUUUCAAGCAAGGCACUGGUGUUGAUCGAUCAGCUGCUGCUGGCAAGCUGAACCACAAGGUCAAGUUUAAGAAGCCGGACAUGAAGCAGAAGUUUGAGCGUUGGAUUGUCGAGCACGAAAAGACAUACCGGGAUGAGGAAGAGAAGGCUAUGCGGUUCGAAUUGUUCAAGGCCUCCCUCGAGAGUAUGGAAGCGCAGCUCCCGCCGGUCGAGGAGAGUGGUGUGCUUCCACAGGUAAGCUGUUUGGCAGACUUUACAGACGAGGAGAGACGGGCGAUGUACGGAAUUAAGAGGAGUGCCCAGGAGUACAGCGAGAUGGUCAAGUCUGCCUGGGCCAAGCAAGAGAAAGGAGAGCCCUAUUGA